rnacentral:precursor_RNA from 14 species
CCAUCCCUGGAUACACUGUGUGCUGUGCUCUACUCAAGACAGUGGCAAUCAUGUAUAAUUAAAUAUGAUUGACACGUCUAUGAGUGGAAUAAGGCAUGACACAUACUACGUAAGUGAU